GACGUAGGGGGCAAGCGUUGUCCGGAAUCAUUGGGCGUAAAGCGCUCGUAGGUGGAUCGGUAAGUCUGCAAAGAAAGACCCGGGCUCAACUCGGGGAACGGUGUGGAUACUACCGAUCUUGAGGCAAUCAGAGGAUGAUGGAAUUCCCGGUGUAGCGGUGAAAUGCGUAGAUAUCGGAAGGAACACCAGUGGCGAAGGCGGCUUCCUGGAUCCAAACUGACACUGAGGCGCGAAAGCGUGGGGAGCGAACAGG
rnacentral:rRNA from 1 species